AGUGAACGCUGGCGGUAGGCCUAACACAUGCAAGUCGAACGGCAGCACAGUAAGAGCUUGCUCUUACGGGUGGCGAGUGGCGGACGGGUGAGGAAUACAUCGGAAUCUACUUUUUCGUGGGGGAUGACGUAGGGAAACUUACGCUAAUACCGCAUACGACCUACGGGUGAAAGCAGGGGAUCUUCGGACCUUGCGCGAUUGAAUGAGCCGAUGUCGGAUUAGCUAGUUGGCGGGGUAAAGGCCCACCAAGGCGACGAUCCGUAGCUGGUCUGAGAGGAGGAUCAGCCACACUGGAACUGAGACACGGUCCAGACUCCUACGGGAGGCAGCAGUGGGGAAUAUUGGACAAUGGGCGCAAGCCUGAUCCAGCCAUACCGCGUGGGUGAAGAAGGCCUUCGGGUUGUAAAGCCCUUUUGUUGGGAAAGAAAAGUAGCAGGUUAAUACCCCGCUGUUCUGACGGUACCCAAAGAAUAAGCACCGGCUAACUUCGUG
rnacentral:rRNA from 1 species